rnacentral:rRNA from 1 species
AUGCAAGUCGAGCGGGAUUAGAGCAAUACAUGAGAGCGGCGGACGGGUGCGUAGCGCGUAUGCAACCUGCCUUAUACAAAGGGAUAGCCCAUGGAAACGUGGAUUAAUACCUUAUGGGACUAAUUAACCGCAUGGUUUAUUAGUUAAAAUUUCGGUGGUAUAAGAUGGGCAUGCGUCUGAUUAGCUAGUUGGUGGGGUAACGGCCCACCAAGGCGACGAUCAGUAGGGGUCCUGAGAGGGUUACCCCCCACACUGGUACUGAGACACGGACCAGACUCC